rnacentral:lncRNA from 1 species
CGAAAGUUAUAUUCGGCGAAUUGCCUUUCCAUCACUUUGCCUGAGAAUUUUGGAAAUCUUGCAAACUGAAAUAAACAAGCAAUGGCCCAAGCUAUGGCUUCAAUGGCAGGAUUACGUGGAUCCUCUCAAGCUGUGCUGGAUGGCAGCCUCCAGCUCAGCGGUUCUGGCCGGUUGAGCACAUCCAGCACCACCAGAGUUGCCUUGGCUAGACCAGGAUUCAGCGUUAGAGCCCAGCAAGGGUCGGGCGAGACCGAAACAAGCCGCCGAGCCAUGUUGGGGCUUGUUGCAGCUGGGAUUGCCUCAGGAUCUUUUGUUCAGGCAGCGCUUGCUGAAGCCAGGGCAAUCAAGGUUGGAGGACCACCACCGCCCUCUGGCGGAUUGCGUAAGCUCUUCUCCAUUCCCUUCUUCUACGACUUUCCUUGUAAGAACAUGGCCAUGUCGUUUUCACAUGAGCUCUUGCUGAUUUAUCCUAAAAUUAGGCGAAAAUUGGAUCACAAUGUUGGAUAGCUAAGAAUUUCCCCACUUCCAUUGCUGUCAGCUACUUCACAUAACCUAUCGAAAUUUUACCUCAAGAUAUCUCUUUCAAUCUAUGAAAUGAAUUUGGUUUUUGUUGAUUAAAAAUCAUCUGAGACAUAGAGCUACAAGGUUUGACCGUAGAGUCAGAUUCUUUGGAUAGAUAAUGUUAGAUUGCUAGUCGGCAAUUGAGAUUUUACUAAUCAUUAUGUCAAAAUUUGUGCAUUUGGCAGCCGGAACUUUGAACUCAGACAUUCCGAGAGACCUUGAUUUGCCACUCAAGGACCGUUUCUUCAUUCAGGCGCUGCCACCGGCUGGGGCAGCAGCGAGGGCGAAGGAUAGUGCCAAGGAUAUUAUUAAUGUAAAGGGAUUGAUAGACAAGAAGGCUUGGCCUUAUGUACAAAAUGACCUUCGUCUAAAGGCCGAAUUACUUCGCUAUGAUCUCAACACUGUCAUCUCAGCAAAACCCAAAGAUGAGAAGAAACAGCUGAAAGAUCUCACCGGGAAGCUGUUCCAGACCAUCAGUG